UGGGGAAUUUUGGACAAUGGGGGCAACCCUGAUCCAGCAAUGCCGCGUGAGUGAAGAAGGCCUUCGGGUUGUAAAGCUCUUUUGUCAGGGAAGAAAAGGURUCCUCUAAUACAGGGUGCUCAUGACGGUACCUGAAGAAUAAGCACCGGCUAACUACGUGCCAGCAGCCGCGGUAAUACGUAGGGUGCAAGCGUUAAUCGGAAUUACUGGGCGUAAAGCGUGCGCAGGCGGUUAUGUAAGUCAGAUGUGAAAUCCCCGGGCUCAACCUGGGAACUGCAUUUGAGACUGCAUGGCUAGAGUGUGUCAGAGGGGGGUAGAAUUCCACGUGUAGCAGUGAAAUGCGUAGAUAUGUGGAGGAAUACCGAUGGCGAAGGCAGCCCCCUGGGAUAACACUGACGCUCAUGCACGAAAGCGUGGGGAGCAAACAGGAUUAGAUACCCUGGUAGUCCACGCCCUAAACGAUGUCUACUAGUUGUUGGGUCUUAAUUGACUUAGUAACGCAGCUAACGCGUGAAGUAGACCGCCUGGGGAGUACGGUCGCAAGAUUA
rnacentral:rRNA from 1 species